rnacentral:tRNA from 1 species
UCCAAGGUAGCUCAAUGGUGGAGCGUCCGCCUGUUAAGCGGAGGGAUGUGGGUUCGAAUCCCACCCUUGGAG